UGCAAGCCAGAGAACAGAGUAAAGAGUGAACAGACGGGGUGCAGUCUGAUUGAUAUAAAGAUUCUGAUUUUAGAGGAAGAGAGAACAGGAGAACAAUUCACACCUAACACCGAUUGCAAGUCUACAGUUGUCAGACAUGUUAUAUAUUAAUCUUCCUUAUUCCAUCUCACAGCUGAGGGAACUAAGGCCCAGAAACGUGAAGUAACUUGUUUAAAAUACAACCUCUAGUAAGCAGGAAAGCAAGAACUUGAACCCAAGUCUGUCUGGCUCAAGGCAUGCCCUAUGUGCUUGAUUUCAGAAGGCCCUAGUUCGCCUCUUCUUGUCCCAUCUGUUCUUUAGUGUAGAGGUCAGGUGCCUGGGCUCUGGAGGCAGAGUACAGGGGUUCAAGCCCUGGUUCUACCACCUCCAGUUCUGUUACCUGAGCUCCCAGUUGUGUAGACAGAGUAUCACUACGGGUCACCAUCACCAUAGGUCAGUGUGGGAAUGUGUCUAGGGGAGGUAGGGCCUCAGUUUGAUUGACACGGGAAGACUUGUUGGGAUUUGGAUAAAGAAAGAGCUCAAAUGAAAGAUACUGCAGUGGAGGGGGAGGAGAAUCGGCAAAGAUGCUGAAGGUGGGAAACGCACACUGAAAUUCACAUGGAAGUGCCUAUUGUACCGGGCAUUCGAUGGUGUCUCUUCAUUCAUCCACUUGCUCAGUGAGUGUUUCCAGUUGCCACCAGAAACCCCUGGCGGCAAGUCACAGACAGACUUUUCUCAGACUGAACUAAGCAUUGCGUUUUCCUGUUAGUAACUCAAGGGUUGGAUUAUUGGCUCAGGUAGCCAGGCAUCCAGCAGUAGAGUGGGAUUCAGAGUUCUUUUAGGAGGAGGAUGAAGCAGUCUAGAAUGACAGGGAAGCAAACCGAGACGAAGGUGGGGAACUUGAAGAAGAGAGCUCAAGAGUGAACCAAGAACUUAAAACUGCAGAAGACAAUGAGUAAGUGGAAGGCCUAUUUUGCAAAAGUCCUGUUCUGGUUUGUUUUUGCUGGUCGCUUCUCACCUGACUGGAGAGCUAAGGAGUUUAUCCCCGAUUGUCCACUCUCUUUGGCUCCAUCUGUCUGUAGAGAGCAUAUUGUGGCUUUGCUCUUAGGGUAGACGUGGCAAUGCGACAAAGCCCGUGGCUUCUCCAGUGAUGCCUGCUCUAGGAGAACACCUCUCUCUAGCUCUGGGGCUCAGGGUUGGGGGCCCAUGGUAAUGGAGCUCACAUGAGGCCAGUGAAGCGUGAGCAGAGGUGAUGUGGUCACCUCUGAGUGGAGCUCUGAGAGCUAGUGUGGGGCUUGCCAUACUAGCAUUUCCCUCUCUACCACCAGGAUUGGCAGUUUUCCAACUGCUGUGUUCCUGAGUGAAGCUGACAUGGGGCAGAGCUUCAGCUGGCCCAAAGUGGACAUGUGAUGUGGACCAGAAAUAACUCUGUUUUUAUCUGCCACUCCUGGGUUGUCACUGCAGCAUAAGCUACCAGUCCUAAUACAAGUCAUAUUUGUUACUGCGCAUCUAAGCCACACUCUCCAGCAGUCAUAUCAGAGAUGGAUGGAUAUCUCCACCUGCCCCACUUUUAUCCCCUUUCCUCAAACUCUGAUGGGAUAGAAGCUCUUAUUUCACCUCCCUUACACUCUGAUAAUGUCCAGUUUGCAGAUCUCCAGGUGAUAAUGAAUCCUGUACCUCGGUCUACAAAAAGGAAGGUUGGAAGCAUCAGUAGAAAAUGUAUUGGCGGAUUCUGUACCCACUGAGCCAGCAGGGAAGCCUAAUGGACAGAUGGAUGCCACAUGAAAGCCAGCCAGGUCAACACCAAGAAGAAGGACACUGAAGGCUUAUUGAAGAGUUAUGAGAAACAGCAGCGAGGACCCAGAACAUUCCAUAUCUCCAGACAGUGUGCUCUUUGUGGGUCUGGGUGGAAUGGGGACCACCUUGGUGGACUUUGAUGGCUUUUAUUGACAUCCUGAAUUCCCUUCAGAGUAGUUUUCUUGGGGGCAGUCAAUCUAAGAUGUAAAACCAAAGUGGAAAAGAUGAAGUGGAGCUGGUUCUUCUGAGGGCUCUUUCCCUUUUGGACCAGGCAAAGGUCAUGCCUCAGCUGUGACCCAUUUAUUCCCUGGGGGUGUCCAGGCCCGGAGGGACUCUGUCUCAUUCAGUCCCUGGGAGCUGGUUAGCCAGGCUGCCAGGCUCCCUGCCUUCCCUCCCCCAUGACUGACAUUGGUCCAGAAUGUCCAUUAUCUUUGUGAACAAGGUUUGCUGUUCAUUAAAAAUUGCCUUUCCUGUGAACAAGAAAAUUACUUGCUUUUUUUAAUUUCCACCCUUUAGCUGACAGGCUCACUUAUCAUUAGGAUUGGAUGAGCUGCAAACCCAAUCUAAUCCAGAAAUGCCCAAUAAGACUAAUUUGAAUUUUGUCCCAGGCCAAAUGAUGGGGAGGAUGUAAGUGGAGAGAGGAACAGAAACCGCAUCUCAUUGCAUUUCUAAUUAUGUUGUUUCUCCUAGUGCGGGAAGAACGGAACCCUGGGCCAGGCAGCCCCUGGAUCUGGGUGGUUUCAUCCAGAGAUUGAGUUCAUCUGGAGUGAAACUCAGAUGGAGGCUCGCAUUGCCAUUGCGCCACCUGCUGGAAAUUUGGAAAAAGAAUCUGAAACUCAGGGUUUGGUUGUAACUGGUAACUUCACAGUCCUAACGAUUGUACUACUUCUCAUUUUGUCUUAUUACACAAGUUACACAGAUUUUUUUGGAAGACAAUUUAGGAAGUUCAUAUAAUUAAAACAAAACAAGUCACAAUCCUGUCACCUAAAGAUUACCAGUGUUUAUAUUUUGUUAGCUUUCCUUCCAUCCUUCCAGUCUUUUUUCUAUUCAGGUAAUAAUAUGUAAUAUGUAAUAAUAUGUAAAUUCAUAUACACUGUCUCUUUCAAUACACGUUAUUUUGUAGCCUAAUUUACAAGCUUAACAUUAUGUAUUAAAUCUUUUUGCAUGUCAUUAAUUAUAAUGUGCAACCUGACUUUUGCUGAGCGGUUUUUAAAUAUCUCUUUACCAUAAUUCUAUUAAUUACAGUUGUCUAUGCUUUGAGUUUUUACUAAAUCUUUUCCCCCUCCGUUCUUUCUUUCUCCUUCAUCCUUUCUUUCCUUCCUUCCAGCUUUUCAUCUUUACUUUUGUUUUCCCUCUAGUAGAAAACUUUUUCCAGAGCAGAUGUUGUUUGGGGCAAUUCCUAGCAGUAUCUCUAGCCUCCCUCACCCCUUCAUAUGAGGGGCUCUAGAGUGUAUGGAUCACAAUAAACUGUGGAAAAUUCUGAAAGAGAUGGGAAUACCAGACCACCUGACCUGCCUCUUGAGAAACCUGUAUGCAGGUCAGGAAGCAACAGUUAGAACUGGACAUGGAA